rnacentral:rRNA from 1 species
UACGGAGGGGACUAGCGUUGUUCGGAAUUACUGGGCGUAAAGCGCACGUAGGCGGAUUUGUAAGUCAGGGGUGAAAUCCCGGGGCUCAACCUCGGAACUGCCUUUGAUACUGCAAAUCUCGAGUCCGGAAGAGGUGAGUGGAAUUCCUAGUGUAGAGGUGAAAUUCGUAGAUAUUAGGAAGAACACCAAUGGCGAAAGCAGCUCUCUGGGACGUGACUGACGCUGAGACGCGAAAGCGUGGGGAGCGAACAGG